rnacentral:rRNA from 1 species
UUGACCUCGAAUCAGGUAGGGAUACCCGCUGAACUUAAGCAUAUCAAUAAGCGGAGGAAAAGAAACCAACCGGGAUUACCUCAGUAACGGCGAGUGAAGCGGUAACAGCUCAAAUUUGAAAUCUGGCUCCUGCGGAGUCCGAGUUGUAAUUUGUAGAAGAUGCUUUGGGAGGUAGGGCCGGCCUAAGUUCCUUGGAACAGGACAUCAGAGAGGGUGAGAAUCCCGUAUGCGGCCGCGGCCUACGCCCGUGUAAAGCUCUUUCGACGAGUCGAGUUGUUUGGGAAUGCAGCUCAAAAUGGGUGGUAAAUUUCAUCUAAAGCUAAAUAUUGGCCAGAGACCGAUAGCGCACAAGUAGAGUGAUCGAAAGAUGAAAAGCACUUUGGAAAGAGAGUUAAACAGUACGUGAAAUUGUUGAAAGGGAAGCGCUUGCACCCAGACUUGGGCGUCGUCGAUCAUCCGAGGUUCUCCUCGGUGCACUCGACGAUGCACAGGCCAGCAUCGGUUUGGGUGGUUGGAGAAAGGCUCUAGGAACGUAGCUCUCUUCGGGGAGUGUUAUAGCCUAGGGCGUAAUGCAGCCCAUCCGGACCGAGGACCGCGCCUUCGGGCUAGGAUGCUGGCGUAAUGGUUGCAAGCGACCCGUCUUGAAACACGGACCAAGGAGUCUAACAUCUAUGCGAGUGUUUGGGCGUUAAACCCAUACGCGGAAUGAAAGUGAACGU